GACGAACGCUGGCGGCGUGCCUAAUACAUGCAAGUCGAGCGAAGUUUUCUGGUGCUUGCACUAGAAAAACUUAGCGGCGAACGGGUGAGUAACACGUAAAGAACCUGCCUCAUAGACUGGGACAACUAUUGGAAACGAUAGCUAAUACCGGAUAGCAGCAUUAACUGCAUGGUUGAUGUUUAAAAGUUGGUUUUGCUAAC
rnacentral:rRNA from 1 species